CAGUAGCCACGGUAAUACGAAGGGUGCAAGCGUUACUCGGAAUCACUGGGCGUAAAGCGUGCGUAGGUGGUGGUUUAAGUCCGUUGUGAAAGCCCUGGGCUCAACCUGGGAAUUGCAGUGGAUACUGGGUCACUUGAGUGUGGUAGAGGAUAGUGGAAUUUCCGGUGUAGCAGUGAAAUGCGUAGAGAUCGGAAGGAACAUCUGUGGCGAAGGCGACUAUCUGGGCCAACACUGACACUGAGGCACGAAAGCGUGGGGAGCAAACAGGAUUAGAUACCCCGGUAGUCCCUGUCUCUUAUAC
rnacentral:rRNA from 1 species